rnacentral:lncRNA from 1 species
CCGGGUGAUUAUGUAGGGGUGGGUCUCUCUCCUUCUCUCUCUUUCAAUAUAUAUACAUAUAUCCAAAUUAUAAUUUCUUUCUAUAAUUUGAGUUACAAAGAAUCUACCACCAUGCAACAAAUGCUUACAUCACCGGAAAUUUUGCUAUGUUGACAUCAUUUUUGUGAAUAAAGAUAUCUAUUGUAUCGAAAGAAAGGGACUGACUCCACCAUAAU